rnacentral:misc_RNA from 1 species
GCUCCGUAGGUGAACCUGCGGAGGGAUCAUUACAAGUGACCCCGGUCUUACCACCGGGAUGUUCAUAACCCUUUGUUGUCCGACUCUGUUGCCUCCGGGGCGACCCUGCCUUCGGGCGGGGGCUCCGGGUGGACACUUCAAACUCUUGCGUAACUUUGCAGUCUGAGUAAACUUAAUUAAUAAAUUAAAACUUUUAACAACGGAUCUCUUGGUUCUG